CCUACGUGAGGCUGCAGUGGGGAAUAUUGGGCAAUGGGCGCAAGCCUGACCCAGCAACGCCGCGUGAAGGAAGAAGGCUUUCGGGUUGUAAACUUCUUUUCUCAGGGACGAAGAAAGUGACGGUACCUGAGGAAUAAGCCACGGCUAACUACGUGCCAGCAGCCGCGGUAAUACGUAGGUGGCAAGCGUUAUCCGGAUUUACUGGGUGUAAAGGGCGUGUAGGCGGGGAAGCAAGUCAGAUGUGAAAACCACGGGCUCAACCUGUGGCCUGCAUUUGAAACUGUUUUUCUUGAGUACUGGAGAGGCAGAUGGAAUUCCUAGUGUAGCGGUGAAAUGCGUAGAUAUUAGGAGGAACACCAGGGGCGAAGGCGGUCUGCUGGACAGCAACUGACGCUGAGGCGCGAAAGCGUGGGGAGCAAACAGGAUUAGAUACCCCAGUAGUC
rnacentral:rRNA from 1 species